UGGGGAAUAUUGGACAAUGGGCGCAAGCCUGAUCCAGCCAUGCCGCGUGAGUGAUGAAGGCCCUAGGGUUGUAAAGCUCUUUCACCGGUGAAGAUAAUGACGGUAACCGGAGAAGAAGCUCCGGCUAACUUCGUGCCAGCAGCCGCGGUAAUACGAACGGGGCUAGCGUUGUUCGGAUUUACUGGGCGUAAAGCGCACGUAGGCGGACUUUUAAGUCAGGGGUGAAAUCCCGGGGCUCAACCCCGGAACUGCCUUUGAUACUGGAAGUCUUGAGUAUGGUAGAGGUGAGUGGAAUUCCGCGUGUAGAGGUGAAAUUCGUAGAUAUUCGGAGGAACACCAGUGGCGAAGGCGGCUCACUGGACCAUUACUGACGCUGAGGUGCGAAAGCGUGGGGAGCAAACAGG
rnacentral:rRNA from 1 species